GAUGAAGAACGCAGCGAAAUGCGAUACGUAAUGUGAAUUGCAGAAUUCAGUGAAUCAUCGAAUCUUUGAACGCACAUUGCGCCUGCCAGCACUCUGGCAGGCAUGCCUGUUCGAGCGUCAUUUCAACCAUCAAGCCCUAGGCUUGCGUUGGAGCCCUGCGGCUGCCGCAGGCCCCUAAAAGCAGUGGCGGGCUCGCUAUCACACCGAGUGCAGUAGAUUACUCUUCGCUCAGGGCGUGUGGCGGGUUCCAGCCGUGAAACCCCCUACUUCUCAAGGUUGAUCUCGGAUCAGGUAGGAAUACCCGCUGAACUUAAGCAUAUCAAUAAGCGGAGGA
rnacentral:misc_RNA from 1 species